UGGGGAAUUUUGCACAAUGGGGGAAACCCUGAUGCAGCGACGCCGCGUGAUUUAGAAGGCCUUCGGGUUGUAAAAAUCUUUUUUAUGGGAUGAAAAUGACAGUACCAUAAGAAUAAGGUCCGGCUAAAUACGUGCCAGCAGCCGCGGUAAUACGUAUGGACCGAGCGUUGUCCGGAAUCAUUGGGCGUAAAGGGUACGUAGGCGGCCCAGUAAGUUAGAAGUGAAAUAAUAUAGCUCAACUAUAUAAAGCUUUUAAAACUGCUAGGCUUGAGAGAUGGAAGGGAAAGUGGAAUUCCUAGUGUAGCGGUGAAAUGCGCAGAUAUUAGGAAGAAUACCGGUGGCGAAGGCGACUUUCUGGUCAUCAUCUGACGCUGAGAUACGAAAGCGUGGGUAGCAAACAGG
rnacentral:rRNA from 1 species